rnacentral:rRNA from 1 species
CGCAAUGGGCGCAAGCCUGACGGAGCAAGACCGCGUGCGGGAGGACGGCCUAUUGGUUGUAAACCGCUUUUGAUAGGGAAGAAGCUCUGACGGUACCUAUCGAAUCAGCAUCGGCUAACUCCGUGCCAGCAGCCGCGGUAAUACGGAGGAUGCAAGCGUUAUCCGGAAUUAUUGGGCGUAAAGCGUCCGUAGGUGGUUGUUCAAGUCUGCUGUUAAAGCGUGCGGCUUAACCGCAUACCAGCAGUGGAAACUGGGCGACUAGAGUGCGGUAGGGGUCAGGGGAAUUCCCAGUGUAGCGGUGAAAUGCGUAGAUAUUGGGAAGAACACCGGUGGCGAAAGCGCCUGACUGGACCUGC